rnacentral:rRNA from 1 species
GGUAUUUUGGCCGUGCAAAGGUAGCAUAAUCAUUAGUUUUUUAAUUGAAAGCUGGAAUGAAAGGUUGGAUGAGAAAUAAGCUGUCUCUAUUUAAUUUUAUUAGAAUUUUAUUUUUAAGUAAAAAAGCUUAAAUUUUAAUAGAAGACGAGAAGACCCUAUAGAGUUUUAUUUAUUUUUUAAAUAAAAUUAAUAGCAUUAAUUAAUUUUAUUUAAUGGAUAAAUUUGGUUGGGGUGAUUGAAAAAUUUAAUAAACUUUUUUUAUAUAUAUACAUUGAUAUAUGGUUAAUUGAUCCUUAAUUUAAGAUUAAAAGAUAAAAUUACCUUAGGGAUAACAGCGUAAUUUUUUUUGAGAGUUCUAAUCGAAAGAAAAGAUUGCGACCUCGAUGUUGGAUUAAAAUAAAAUUUUGGUGUAGAAGCUAAAA